CGAGAGCGCAACGAGACACCGUCGACUUCUUUGGACUUGAUUUACAUCCUUCUCCCCUACCUGGCCUUCUGGCUCUCUUCACGCCCCCUGCUUCGUGCGCCGGCGCCAUCCUUCAUAGAGCGGCGCGGCUGCGAACGGAAAAAGACGAAUACGAGAGAGAACGAAGAACAAGCAAAAGGAUUGGGGCUGAUAGAGACGCACGCAACACGCACACGCACACGCCGCCGGGCCAUCUCAGUAUCGCUGUGUGCCUGCGCAUGUGCGUGGCUCUCUCUGAAGGGUCCGCUUCAUCGACACCCUGAAGUGUAAGCAACCAUAAAAAGCAAGGGCACAACGGCCGGUGGUGAGCUCCGUUGGUACUCCUCCCUCCCUUCCACACACCCACCCCCCUCUUUAAGGCUGGGAAGCACUACAGCUUCAACAAGGGACACUCAAGAUAGCGCACAUCACAGCACAGGCGAUCGCGGCAAGCCUGAAGCGGCGAUUGAAAAGAUCGCAACUUACCAUGGUGCUCACACGAUCACAGGCCAAGCGCGGUCGCAGCAGCGACGUUGGGGAUGACGACGACAGCAGUGUAGUUGGCCCCGUCUCUUCGGACGCUGACACUUCAGACGGCGAAGAUGUCCAUCGCCGAUCAACAGCAAAGCCGCGCUCGUUUCCUGCCGAGACAACACCCAUAAAGAACGGCAGUUUGGCGAGUGGGCAGCGUGGCGCAUCGCUGCUCGUGUCGCCGCAGGGAGAGCGACUUGGCCGCGGAUGUCGGGUGCCACAUGCCACCGUCUCCCUCGACGAGCAGUAUCUCGCGGCCUCGUUGCGCCGCUCGAAGCCUCUGCAACGCAGCCCGGGACACCGUGGCAACGACGGGGACGGCGUAGCAAGGACGAGAAGCAGCGACGAAGAGAACGAUGCCCUCGCCACCCACUCCCGAUACCCGCAACGGGAGGCAGCGAAGAGGGCGAUGGAGAAUCUUCGCAGCACGCUCGCCCACCCCAACGGGGCUGCCGGACGUGGCGGCAGUGGCGCGGCGGACGAUGAGGACAGCGACAGCAAUAGCAUGGGCGCUUUCAACUUUCGCCAUCACCCGGAACUGGAGGAGGAGAUCAAGAAGAGCCGCGAGAUGUAUCGGCGGCGAUGCCGCAACAGGAACAGUGCUAGCGACGAUGACGAGGAUGAGUCCACCGCUUCUUCCUCCUCUGAGGAAUCCGCCGAUGAGAAUGCUCCUGCCCGACGAGCCACGCGUGGGCGGCCUCGCCUCUCUACGGACUGGCGUGGCAGCGCGGCGGCACCGUCGUCAAACUCCCCAGCAGGGGCGACGACACGUCGCGCCCGCGCUGCCGACGCUGAUGCCGUGCCGAUCGACUCGUCCAUCAGCGACGCCUCCAUGCGGGAAGAAAGCGUCGAGCGGAUGGCGCAGCAGGACCAGCGCGCCGGCCCCUCCUCGUCCUCCAGCGAAAGCGGUGAAGGCAGUCUCACUGGCGACUUCAUGACGGAGGCGCAGCGGCGCCACGCCGUCCGCCAAGCCCGCGAGAGCGUCACUGAGAACAUCAACAUCAACCACUACAUGGCGGACGCCGUCGGCGUAAAGGACUCGAAGAAAGUCCGCCGCCGCCAGCUGGAUCGGCGCUACCGCUGGCUGAUGCACCAGGAGGAGGAUGCGCGAACGCGGGCCGACGGCUAUGGCGGCUGCGCAGGCGCAGCGGACGGCGGGAGUGGCGGUGCGGCGACAACGGCGAACGGGGCGCUGGGGGACAUCUCGCCCCUGCAGAUCGAUGACGGCAUCACCUUCGACAGCGUUGGCGGUCUUCCGGAGCACAUCGUGACGCUGCGGGAGAUGGUGUUGCUCCCGCUGCUCUACCCGGAUCUGUUCGAGCGCCUUGACCUCAAGGCACCGCGUGGUGUGCUCUUCGUCGGCCCGCCCGGCACAGGGAAGACACUGAUGGCUCGCGCGCUUGCCAACGAGGGGUCGGGGUUUGCGCGCGGCAGCAACACAGGCGGGGCGACACCGUCGCAGCAGCAGCAUCGCAUCACGUUCUUUGUUCGAAAAGGUGCGGAUUUGCUCUCGAAGUGGGUAGGUGAAAGUGAGCGCCAGCUGAAGCUUCUCUUCGAGGAGGCGAAGCGGCUGCAGCCGAGCAUCAUCUUCUUCGACGAGGUGGACGGCCUCGCACCGGCGCGGCACGCCAAGGCGGAGCAGACACAGGCCGCCCUCGUCUCGACGUUGCUGGCGCUCCUGGACGGCCUGGAGGACCGCGGGCAGGUGGUCGUGAUUGGGGCGACGAACCGGCCAGACACACUGGACCCCGCCCUGCGGCGCCCCGGCAGGUUUGAUCGGGAGCUUGUGUUUCCGCUCCCAGAUGCGGCGGCGCGGCGACACAUCUUGACCAUCCAGCUGGCGAAGAAGGCGAUGCCUGGCAAUGCGGCACAGCGCGCAGCCCUGUUGAAGGACUUGGUCGAGAUGACUGAGGGCUACACUGGCGCCGACCUGGCUGCGCUGUGCACCGAAGCCAGUCUUCACCGCCUCCGCACGGCACUUCCGCAGCUCUACCUUAGCAGCCAACGCUUGCGAGUGCCAAGCGAUGUGGAGAAGACACAGCUGCACGUGCGCACCGAAGACUUCUACGCUGCAGCUCAACUGAUGCAGCCAUCGCUGCGCCGUCCUCGCAACCGCGGUGCCAGCGGAGUGACGGAUUCCUUUCUGGAUCCGUAUAUCGAAGUGCUGCUGCGCGGCACGCGCGACGCGACGCUCGCGGCAUUGGCGCCGUCGUGGUCGCUGGUCGACAAGGCGUUACGAGCCGGCUCACGCGACUGUCAAGAUAUGGCUACGGCGGUCCGCUCACUCUGCACGGUUCCGAUUCCGCAGCCACCGCGACCAUGCUUGCUUGUGCUCCGUGAGGCAUCGGAUGAUUUGCCAUCAUCUUGGUGCGCCGCCGCUGCCGCACCUGUUAAUCGGUCAGCAGAGCAGCAUCAGCAGCAGCGCACACUACGGCUGCAUCACCUGGCGAUUAGUCUGCUCAAGGGAUUACCACGCCUGCCGCAGCUCACCGUCCACCUGCCUCAGCUUUGCUGGGAUGACAGUGAGUCGAGAGGAGCCUGGCGCGCCUCGGCCGCGGUCGCGGACGACUGCCUGGGCGACGGAUCAGGCAGCCGUUUUGCGGGCAUCAGCUUCACGCACAUGAGCCACGUGGUGGACUCUGUGCGCCAGUGCAGCCCGUGCGUCGUGUACCUGAGCGGUGUGGAAGAGUGGCUGAGAGGCACUAGCGCAGAGCGAGAGACGGCAGCCACUGACUUGUCUUCAGACGACGAAGGGGUAGUCCGCGCCGGCUCCGAGGCAGCAUCGCACACGGACUCCUCACGGCCCGACGCGUUCACCACUUCUGCAGAUGCCAAGGUGGCUAUCGAUGGUGCAGAGGGCCUGUCGCCCGUGCACCAGCAGCAGCUCUCUCGCAGGCGGCAGCAUCUAUUACAGGUGUUCCGCUACUACCUGAACACGAUGGCUGACACGGACGUCAUCUUUCUGCUUCCCUGCGCGACGGCUGCGACGUGCGAGCUGCUCAUCGGACCAGAGAGCCCUGCCCCCGCCGCUUCCAAGCCGCGGACUGCGUCGACGGCAUUAUCCCCACAACAGCUGGACUCCCUGUCUCCAUCUUCACCGACUCUCCAAGCAGACCCACCGAGCGCGGUGCAGCUCAGGCGCUUCUCGGCGCGGCAGCAGCUUCUGCAUCCGCAGUUCUCUGUGGUGGUCGCAGCCGUAUCCGCCGCACCACUGCCUAAUGACCUGCGCCACUUCGUGGAGUACGUCUACCGCAUCGUCGCCAUGACGCUUCAGCUGCACCACCGCACCGCUGUGGCCAGUGCAACAAGCGAGCCCACAAAGGUGCACGGGGAGACGAGGGCGACGGCGGCCGUAGGGCCUUCUGGCGCACUAGUGGUCGAUAAAGCACCACCGUCGUCACCGCUCUCCGCCGCUAAUCUGCGUGCUCGCCGGCGCGCCGACCGCGCCCAACGGUGCGAGCUCUGGCGCAGGGUCGAGUACCGUCGCCUACAGCUGCGCCACGUGCUGAUGAAGUGGGUGAGCCAGUACAUCAACUCGGGCAAGUUCAAACUGUUGGCCAGCGCCGACCUCGACCUCGCUGCUGAUAGCCCGCAGUUCAAGUCGUGGCAGCAGCACACGCGCCACCAUCGCAUUGGUCUGCAGGACAUCCUCGAGAAGAUCGAGGACGAGGCGUACGUAUGUCUCUCACAGUACCACGACGAUAUUGACCAGCUCGUGCGCAACGUGCGUUCUUUCUUUCGCACGCGGGCGGCGCAGGAUCAGCGCUACCGCCUCAAGGCGCUGGACCUGAAGGAGACCUGUCUGCUGAAUAUGUACAAACUGAACCGUGCCGUCAUUCGCUUCUGCGAGGAGACGCGCGACAUUCACGAGCCCUCGUCGGAUGAGGAUGCAGCCGACGUGGGAGAGGCGCAGCGCGUUGGGGCCGAGGGGCCAGGGCGAGAUCCCACGGCUCUGGUCUCCAAGGAUGCGGACCCGGCCCUCAUCGCCGAGCAGUCUCGCCGGGCCAUGAGCUUCUCUCAGCGUCCCUCGGCCCCGGUGCGGCGGAAGUCGCGGCGGUACUACGGAGAGCGGCGACGUCGCCGAAAGCCCAAGAAAGACUCGAAGGCAGAAACGAGGAAGACGGCAGACGAAGUGGUGCUGACGAGUGACGGCGGUGGCGACGACGAUAGCGUUGACGGUGACGAGGAGGGUGAGCGAGUUUCGAACGAAGGCUCAGCCAGUGAGAAACAAGCGGCAGCACCAGCAGCAGAGGAGGAGGACGUCACAGCGAACGGUAGCCGCACGUCUGCUUCUGGUAUGGCCAAGGACAGAGCAUCUGUCUUGAUCACUGCCUCAUCGGCCCAGGACUGGGCAUGCGGCCUUCUUGCCUCCCUGUCCUACACACGCCUCUACCAAGUCUUCAAGUCGAUGAUGCGUGGACUAGAGAUGGAGGUGCGCGGCGCAGAGUGUCAGGUGACGUCGACCGUUCUCCCUGGUGAGGCUAGAAAGCCGAAUGACGCUGCAGGCGUCCCACUAAUAGUGACGGGGGAUAGUGAGCGAGCACCAGAUGCGUACGCCGCGACGGUGUUCAGGCAGCUUCUGCUCGCAGCAGUCGGUGAGUGAGCCCAUACAAGGAGGAGGGGGUGGAUAGGACAGAUGAUACCUGCCAACAUUCUUUGCGCAUCCAACGCUGCGCACUCUUGUGCCCUCGAUACGCCACGACAGGCGAGGCAGUGGUGCCGCUGUACUGCUUGGUGGCGGUGGUGUGUGUAGUGUGCGUGUGUGUAUGUGGGUGGGUGGGGGUGGGGGCGUGGCUCAUGCCACAGCCACGCACGGCGACGAGUAAAUCACCAUCUGAAGAAGCAAAGGGAAAAACAAAAUGACGGGCGUAUGCCUUUUUCAUCCGCAGCCGCUUUCGCCAGGCGCGCGCAGCAUACACCCGGCGAGUGGGUGAGGAAUGGGAGGGGAGCCGUCACGCUCUCUCAAUGGUCGUUUUCGUCGCGCUCACCAUACAUUGCCCCCCCCCCCCCCCCCCCCCCCCGUGCGAAUUGUCCGUGUAUGUGAGCUGGGCGUGGCGCACACACGUUGAACUGCAGGGAAAACGGAGGGAGGGGGAGGGGAAACAACAGCAAAAAAAGAGUGUGGUGCCGUUCGAACGUGCCUUCACCCUCUGCAGUCCGCACUGAACUCUCCCUCCCACCUCUCCACGGUGACGGUCACGCAAUCGUGCCGCGCUCACUUCACGUCCCGCUUCCUCGCACGACACACGGCUGAUCACCAUCAUGCACACAUCAACACAUACGCACGUAUGUAAAG
rnacentral:misc_RNA from 1 species